rnacentral:sRNA from 1 species
CCCUAGUCCCGAUGGGAACGGCAUCCUUUUUUGUCUUAUGCAAAAACUUGUUUUUAGUGACAAAACGUCUAAGACAAAAAAGAUAUAGCACUUCGACUUCGC